rnacentral:rRNA from 1 species
GUGACUGCGUACCUUUUGUAUAAUGGGUCAGCGACUUAUAUUCUGUAGCAAGGUUAACCGUAUAGGGGAGCCGAAGGGAAACCGAGUCUUAACUGGGCGUUAAGUUGCAGGGUAUAGACCCGAAACCCGGUGAUCUAGCCAUGGGCAGGUUGAAGGUUGGGUAACACUAACUGGAGGACCGAACCGACUAAUGUUGAAAAAUUAGCGGAUGACCUGUGGCUGGGGGUGAAAGGCCAAUCAAACCGGGAGAUAGCUGGUUCUCCCCGAAAGCUAUUUAGGUAGCGCCUCGUGAACUCAUCUUCGGGGGUAGAGCACUGUUUCGGCUAGGGGGCCAUCCCGGCUUACCAACCCGAUGCAAACUACGAAUACCGAAGAAUGUUAUCACGGGAGACACACGGCGGGUGCUAACGUCCGUCGUGAAGAGGGAAACAACCCAGACCGCCAGCUAAGGUCCCAAAGUCAUGGUUAAGUGGGAAACGAUGUGGGAAGGCACAGACAGCCAGGAUGUUGGCUUAGAAGCAGCCAUCAUUUAAAGAAAGCGUAAUAGCUCACUGGUCGAGUCGGCCUGCGCGGAAGAUGUAACGGGGCUAAACCAUGCACCGAAGCUGCGGCAGCGACACUAUGUGUUGUUGGGUAGGGGAGCGUUCUGUAAGCCGUUGAAGGUGUGCUGUGAGGCAUGCUGGAGGUAUCAGAAGUGCGAAUGCUGACAUAAGUAACGAUAAAGCGGGUGAAAAGCCCGCUCGCCGGAAGACCAAGGGUUCCUGUCCAACGUUAAUCGGGGCAGGGUGAGUCGACCCCUAAGGCGAGGCCGAAAGGCGUAGUCGAUGGGAAACAGGUUAAUAUUCCUGUACUUGGUGUUACUGCGAAGGGGGGACGGAGAAGGCUAUGUCAGCCGGGCGACGGUUGUCCCGGUUUAAGCAUGUAGGCGGAGGUUCCAGGUAAAUCCGGUACCUUGUUAACGCUGAGGUGUGAUGACGAGGCACUACGGUGCUGAAGUGAUAAAUGCCCUGCUUCCAGGAAAAGCCUCUAAGCAUCAGGUAACACGAAAUCGUACCCCAAACCGACACAGGUGGUCAGGUAGAGAAUACCAAGGCGCUUGAGAGAACUCGGGUGAAGGAACUAGGCAAAAUGGUGCCGUAACUUCGGGAGAAGGCACGCUGAUAGGUAGGUGAAGCCCCUGCGGGCGGAGCUGAAAUCAGUCGAAGAUACCAGCUGGCUGCAACUGUUUAUUAAAAACACAGCACUGUGCAAACACGAAAGUGGACGUAUACGGUGUGACGCCUGCCCGGUGCCGGAAGGUUAAUUGAUGGGGUUAGCGGCAACGCGAAGCUCUUGAUCGAAGCCCCGGUAAACGGCGGCCGUAACUAUAACGGUCCUAAGGUAGCGAAAUUCCUUGUCGGGUAAGUUCCGACCUGCACGAAUGGCGUAAUGAUGGCCAGGCUGUCUCCACCCGAGACUCAGUGAAAUUGAACUCGCUGUGAAGAUGCAGUGUACCCGCGGCAAGACGGAAAGACCCCGUGAACCUUUACUAUAGCUUGACACUGAACACUGGUCCUUGAUGUGUAGGAUAGGUGGGAGGCUUUGAAGCGUGGACGCCAGUCUGCGUGGAGCCAUCCUUGAAAUACCACCCUUUAAUGGCUGGUGUUCUAACGUAGACCCGUGAUCCGGGUUGCGGACAGUGUCUGGUGGGUAGUUUGACUGGGGCGGUCUCCUCCCAAAGAGUAACGGAGGAGCACGAAGGUUGGCUAAUCCUGGUCGGACAUCAGGAGGUUAGUGCAAUGGCAUAAGCCAGCUUGACUGCGAGCGUGACGGCGCGAGCAGGUGCGAAAGCAGGUCAUAGUGAUCCGGUGGUUCUGAAUGGAAGGGCCAUCGCUCAACGGAUAAAAGGUACUCCGGGGAUAACAGGCUGAUACCGCCCAAGAGUUCAUAUCGACGGCGGUGUUUGGCACCUCGAUGUCGGCUCAUCACAUCCUGGGGCUGAAGUAGGUCCCAAGGGUAUGGCUGUUCGCCAUUUAAAGUGGUACGCGAGCUGGGUUUAGAACGUCGUGAGACAGUUCGGUCCCUAUCUGCCGUGGGCGCUGGAGAAUUGAGGGGGGCUGCUCCUAGUACGAGAGGACCGGAGUGGACGCAUCACUGGUGUUCGGGUUGUCAUGCCAAUGGCACUGCCCGGUAGCUAAAUGCGGAAGAGAUAAGUGCUGAAAGCAUCUAAGCACGAAACUUGCCCCGAGAUGAGUUCUCCCUGAGACUUUAAGUCUCCUGAAGGAACGUUGAAGACGACGACGUUGAUAGGUCGGGUGUGUAAGCGCAGCGAUGCGUUGAGCUAACCGAUACUAAUGAACCGUGAGGCUUAACCUU